GUCUACUGUAUAGGUUAGGGGUUAUGGUUAGAGGUGUCCCUGUCAGUCUACUGUAUAGGUUAGGGGUUAUGGUUAGAGGUGUCCCUGUCAGUCUACUGUAUAGGUUAGGGGUUAUG